GUCUGGCACCAUGCACUAUAAAAACACUAAAAAUGUGUUUGAUGGGUUUUGUCCUUGAAUAAUGUUGUCAGGUCCAUAUUGUUCUGUAUGGAGAUAAUGUUGUCUCUCAAACCAGGGAACUCAGCAGCUCUGACUCCAAACUCUUUACAUGCAACUCAAGGAAUACCUUUAUUCUCAGUUCCCCAGAGAGUCUGGGUCGAGUACGGAAGGUGCAUCUUUGGCAUGAUAAUGGAGGUUCAUCUCCAGCUGGUACCCGAGCCAUGUGCAGGGGUCCUGCUGGUUCUUCCUGGUCCAGUGUUGGCUGGCAGUAGAUGAGGGAGAUGGAAGGGUGGAGAGGAGUUUAGCUGCUUCUGAAUGUGGCCUAACAUUUAAACAGUUCCUAUAUUUGAAACUCACCGAGUACCUGGAGGACUUUCCACCAGGUCUGUGUACAGUCAUCCGUCUUUCAGCACACACACACACACCCACUCACACACACACACACACACACACAGAGCUGGAGUGUGUGGCUGCUGCUUCUGCAGGGCUACAUGUGGGUCAGCACAGUGCUUGUAAAUCUUUUGGAAAAACAGGUGUUCAACACAGAAAUCAAUACAUGUCAACAAAUACUGUCAAUGUGAUUUUGCUUGUCAUUUUCACAAUUUUGAGACAUGUCUUUUUUGUUUUCUACUGUACACCAAUGGGCAGUGUUUUGUAGAGAUGGGGCUUAUUGAUGUUUCACCGGUUUCCAUGGUAACAGGCCUGUGCAGUAUUCUUGCUGUGCUGCCAGUAGGGGGGUCUGGUGUUCCUGGUGUUUAGUGUCAGGAAGGUCAGAGUUCCUGAGGAGCUGCUGCAGGGGGAAAAGCCAGCUGUUUUGCCCCUCAGUUUCUUCUUGCUACAUAGUUAAAUGUUAGAUCAACUGCAUGCAUUCAUUUAGACAAUUGGUAUUUAUGUAUGAUAUAUUUACAGUAGUUAGUGUCCCUAUAUGUUACUGUUAUUUUAUCUGUUUUAGAGCACAUCCGCUAGUGUGUCUGGAGAGCAGUAUAAGGUCAAGGUGCCUGAUGUCUACUCUGUAGGAGGCAUGUUUUUAUGAAUUUUUUACUCUUUUGUUAUCAUCUGUCAGUUUAUUCAUUAUUCAAAAUAGUUUUAUGCAAAACACUUUCUGUUGGUUUGUCUGUUUUAUAGAACACCACGAUGCAGUUCUGAUGAACACUUGUGCAUCGUACCUGUCCUGCAAUAGUUUCCCACUGGACUCAAGGAUCAUGGGAAAAAAAAAUACAAUGUAUAAUGUACAGAUCAGUUAAAUUGCUUACUUUAUAUGCUCAGUUAAAUAUGCUUGACAAUGAAAUUAUUUUAGUCUACAGUACUAAAGACAGUGCAAAUGGUAUGUCCCGCAGUAUGGAGAUCAGGAUUGGAAAACCUCAGAUUCAGUGUCUAUGUCAAAACUGAAAGAGGAUCCUGAUGCCAUCUUAGAGAUUGUAGAAGACUCCAUCUCUGAUGUCAACAAGCAGAUCACAUGACAAAAGCAAAUGGAAUAAGAUCUCAAAUCACACACCUCUGCACGUUUGUAAACCCAUUAGUUAAAUAUUAUAUUACAAUUAUAUAGUAAAAAUUCUAUGUGGUUAUGUAUGUAUAUUUUUAAAGUGAUUAUAAUUAUUAAAAAUAUAUUUUUAUUUUAAUAUAGUUAUAGCAAUAUAUUUUUUAAAUUACAUUUUUG
ensembl:lncRNA